rnacentral:rRNA from 1 species
GCGGCUGAAGAUUCUUCGGAUGAUGACGCUAGCGGCGGAUGGGUGAGUAACACGUGGGCAUCUGCCCUAAAGACUGGGAUACCACUUGGAAACAGGUGCUAAUACCGGAUAACAUCGCAUGAUGAAAGGCGGCGCAAGCUGUCACUUUAGGAUGAGCCCGCGGCGCAUUAGCUAGUUGGUGGGGUAAAGGCCUACCAAGGCAAUGAUGCGUAGCCGAGUUGAGAGACUGAUCGGCCACAUUGGGACUGAGACACGGCCCAAACUCCUACGGGAGGCAGCAGUAGGGAAUCUUCCACAAUGGACGCAAGUCUGAUGGAGCAACGCCGCGUGAGUGAAGAAGGUUUUCGGAUCGUAAAGCUCUGUUGUUGGUGAAGAAGGAUAGAGGCAGAACUGGUCUUUAUUGACGGUAAUCAACCAGAAAGUCACGGCUAACUACGUGCCAGCAGCCGCGGUAAUACGUAGGUGGCAAGCGUUGUCCGGAUUUAUUGGGCGUAAAGCGAGCGCAGGCGGAAUGAUAAGUCUGAUGUGAAAGCCCACGGCUCAACCGUGGAACUGCAUCGGAAACUGUCAUUCUUGAGUGCAGAAGAGGAGAGUGGAACUCCAUGUGUAGCGGUGGAAUGUGUAGAUAUAUGGAAGAACACCAGUGGCGAAGGCGGCUCUCUGGUCUGCAACUGACGCUGAGGCUCGAAAGCAUGGGUAGCGAACAGGAUUAGAUACCCUGGUA